rnacentral:misc_RNA from 1 species
UCCUCGGUAAAACCGAGGCUGUCCCCCGUGAGAAUAUAACACAGGGUAGGGGUUGCGCUCGUUUGCCGACUGAACGGAACACCUCACGGCACGAGCUGACGACGACCGUGCAUCACCUGUCAUUGGGCUCCCGAAGGCACCCCCGCAUUUCUGCAGGGUUCCCAAGAUGUCAAGACCUGGUAAGGUUCCUCGCUUAUCGUCGAAUUAAACCACAUGCUCCACCACUUGUGCGAGCCCCCGUCAAUUCCUUUGAGUUUUAGCCUUGCGGCCGUACUUCCCAGGCGGUUCACUUACCGCGUUAGCUGCGCUACAGAAAGGGUCGAUACUCCCCAUAGCUAGUGAACAUCGUUUACAGCGUGGACUAC